GAGACGGGAAACUUCUCGCUCUCUCCGACUCCGACACCGCCACCAGGCCGAACGCGACGGCGAUUGGCGUGCCGUGGCCGCCGUCGUCCUCCGCCACCGCCUCCUCCUUCGCCUCCUCCUCCUCCUCCUCCUCCUCCUUUUUCCCCUUUCCUCCGGCGGCGGCGGCGUGGGCACCAGGCGACGGCGAGGCUUCCAGAUGGCGCGGCAACGCAGGUGAGGCCCGACGACCUCCUCCCUCUCCUCCAUCCUUCGUGCGGCCUCCUCGGUGCCUCCUCCUGUCGGGACGCCUUCACUCCUCCUGUGGCCGAAACCCUAGCUGGCCAAACCCUAAGCUUGGUAUGCUGGCGCAGCAGGAGGGCCAAGCUUGGCGGCGACCGGCGCGAUGGUGCUCCCCUCUCUGUUUCCUCUCUCCUUCUCCCCUUCUGUACCCUCCACAGGGCUCCUCGAUGCCGCGGCCGUCGGAGACCGUGAGCUCCUCAGCUUAGCGAAACCCUAAGCACUAUGUCGGGCCUCGAUCUAUUUUCCUAUUUGCCUGAUGUCAAUUGCCGGCAGGCUGCAGGCUGCACGCGUCGUGCUGCAAGCAGUGGCUAUAGACUGCCAUGUCGAGUUCACCUAAUGCCUUUGGUAUAUUAAUAUGUUUUAUGCACAUAGUUGUUUUUUGGGUUCCAUCCAAAACUAACAGUGAUGCAAUCUUUUUCCUUUCUCUACUACAUCUUCUAAGAUCAUGCAGGAUACUGAAAGGUAUUUAGAGCUAUUUUUUAAUACGACACAAUCUACCGUGUUGCCGCCAUGUGUUAUGCUCUUGAUGCUAAAUAAAUAGGUGUCUACAUAUUGGGACACAUCUAGCAAGACUCAUUAUCAAUCUGGCUGCUCGACUUAUGGAUAUAGGCUGCUCCUAUGGGCCUACAUUCAGGGCUACAACACAGAUCGUCCAUCAGCCCUUGUUUGAUACUUUAUGCUGAUUUUUGAUCCUCGGCAAUUCCUCAGCUAUCUUCUUAUUUGUUCUUUAGUUAAAGGGUGGCGUUCCCUGUCAACACAACCACUAAUAUGACGAUCUUGAUGUUUUUUUUCGCCGUUGAUGGGUCUGAGUUGGGAGGACUGCUGCACCCAUGAAGGCCUCAUUAUUUUUAGAGGCUUUGGCAUCUGCCUACAACCACGGUCGCUCAGCAUGUCUUAGUCGUUGGUGGAAUUUGGCAGCAAGCCCAAGAUCUUGCAUCAGCUUCCUGGGCGUGCGAAGGUGCGUCCAUUCUACUAAACACGUCACGGUAAUGAAACUACUUCGGAACUCAGAGAAUCAUCAAACCACAUUUCAGAUUAUGAUGUUACACCACAACGCAAUUCUGAUGGCUACGAACCAGGUUGGGAAUUAUACCGCAGUUACUGCAAAGCAGACUAAGCAAUCUUACCUUCGGCACCACAUGAACGGAAAAAAAGGGAAAAAAAUCCAAUGUGAUGCCAACCUUUUGUAACAGCAAUAUCACGCAGUGAACAAAGUCCACUCAUACUUACUAAAUUUUCUAAUGUACUACAUCUAUAGCCUAUCCCUCACAGAAGUACUCUAUGUCAUGUAUACUUAUGUGAUCUCCCCACUUAUGUCUUACCGUGAUGUAUAUUCCCUUCUACUAUCCGACAUAUAUAUUUCUAAAGUCCAUUCUUAUUAAUCUUAACCUAUACUUAGUCCGCACUGGCGCGCAAGGGCGCG